rnacentral:rRNA from 1 species
GACGAACGCUGGCGGCGUGCUUAACACAUGCAAGUCGAACGGAAAGGCCCUGCUUUUGUGGGGUGCUCGAGUGGCGAACGGGUGAGUAACACGUGAGUAACCUGCCCUUGACUUUGGGAUAACUUCAGGAAACUGGGGCUAAUACCGGAUAGGAGCUCCUGCUGCAUGGUGGGGGUUGGAAAGUUUCGGCGGUUGGGGAUGGACUCGCGGCUUAUCAGCUUGUUGGUGGGGUAGUGGCUUACCAAGGCUUUGACGGGUAGCCGGCCUGAGAGGGUGACCGGCCACAUUGGGACUGAGAUACGGCCCAGACUCCUACGGGAGGCAGCAGUGGGGAAUAUUGCGCAAAGGGCGAAAGCCUGACGGAGCAACGCCGCGUGAGUGAUGAAGGUCUUCGGAUCGUAAAACUCUGUUAUUAGGGAAGAACAAAUGUGUAAGUAACUAUGCACGUCUUGACGGUACCUAAUCAGAAAGCCACGGCUAACUACGUG